GACGAACCGUGCGAACGUUGUUCGGAAUCACUGGGCUUAAAGGGUGCGUAGGCGGGCUCGUCAGUCGGGGGUGAAAUCCCACGGCCCAACCGUGGAAGUGCCUCCGAUACUGCGAGUCUAGAGGGGAACAGGGGCAUGCGGAACUUCCGGUGGAGCGGUGAAAUGCGUAGAUAUCGGAAGGAACACCGGUGGCGAAAGCGGCGUGCUGGAUUCCUACUGACGCUGAGGCACGAAAGCCAGGGGAGCAAACGGG
rnacentral:rRNA from 1 species